GAUGAACGCUGGCGGCGUGCCUAAUACAUGCAAGUCGAGCGAACAGACGAGGAGCUUGCUCCUCUGACGUUAGCGGCGGACGGGUGAGUAACACGUGGAUAACCUACCUAUAAGACUGGGAUAACUUCGGGAAACCGGAGCUAAUACCGGAUAAUAUAUUGAACCGCAUGGUUCAAUAGUGAAAGACGGUUUUGCUGUCACUUAUAGAUGGAUCCUCGCCGCAUUAGCUAGUUGGUAAGGUAACGGCUUACCAAGGCAACGAUGCGUAGCCGACCUGAGAGGGUGAUCGGCCACACUGGAACUGAGACACGGUCCAGACUCCUACGGGAGGCAGCAGUAGGGAAUCUUCCGCAAUGGGCGAAAGCCUGACGGAGCAACGCCGCGUGAGUGAUGAAGGUCUUCGGAUCGUAAAACUCUGUUAUUUGGGAAGAACAAAUGUGUAAGUAACUAUGCACGUCUUGACGGUACCUAAUCAGAAAGCCACGGCUAACUACGUG
rnacentral:rRNA from 1 species